ACCGCCGCUGACGUCGCGGGCUCCGAAUGAAGGGCGGACCGCGGCGCCGCCGCCGUGCGCUCCCCGCCCCCCGCCUUUGUUUCCGACCCGGCACCCGGCGGAGGCGCGAGCGGAUAACCGGGAGGCGCGGCGGUGGGGGCGGGCCCGAGGCGUGGCGAGCGGGAUGGAGCGGAGGCGCCGUGGGAGAGCGGCCGCCUCGGACCCGCAGACUCCGGCUGGCGGAGCCCCGGGAGUCUCCACUCUCGACCUACUGCCGGGCGGACGUGAGCGCCCCGCGAGGCCUGCGGUAAACACGCGUGCAGCGGCGGGGAGGCCCGGAGGACGCUCGGACCGCGAGCUCUUCUGAGUCCUGUGUUUCUGAUGUGGCUUGGAGGGAGCCCAAGUUUGAGCGCGGCUUUCCUCACCACUCCUGGGUCUCUGUUCCCCUACCUGGUAAAAGGAGGAUCAGCUGACCCAUGAAAGCCCGCGAGGACCCAACUGUGUCUUUUAGGUUCAAUUACUACCAGACAGUAAGCUAAUAAACCUGGUGUAUGGUAAACAC
rnacentral:lncRNA from 1 species